rnacentral:rRNA from 1 species
CACGUAGGGGACGAGCGUUGUCCGGAUUCAUUGGGCGUAAAGGGCGCGUAGGCGGCGCGGUAAGUCACUUGUGAAAUCUCUGAGCUUAACUCAGAACGGCCAAGUGAUACUGCAGUGCUAGAGUGCAGAAGGGGCAAUCGGAAUUCUUGGUGUAGCGGUGAAAUGCGUAGAUAUCAAGAGGAACACCUGAGGUGAAGACGGGUUGCUGGGCUGACACUGACGCUGAGGCGCGAAAGCCAGGGGAGCAAACGGG